UACAGAGGUCCCAAGCGUUGUUCGGAAUUACUGGGCGUAAAGGGCGCGUAGGCGGCCUUCUAAGUCGAACGUGAAAUCCCCGGGCUCAACCCGGGAACUGCGUCCGAUACUGUAAGGCUUGAGUUCGGUAGAGGAGGGCGGAAUUCCAGGUGUAGCGGUGAAAUGCGUAGAUAUCUGGAGGAACACCCGUGGCGAAGGCGGCUCUCUGGUCCGAAACUGACGCUGAGGUGCGAAAGCUAGGGUAGCAAACAGG
rnacentral:rRNA from 1 species